GCUCCCUUAGCUCAGCUGGAUAGAGCAGCUGCCUUCUAAGCAGCUUGUCGCAGGUUCGAAUCCUGCAGGGAGCG
rnacentral:tRNA from 1 species